GGGGCUAAAUGAUGAUCUUGAAAAGGGCCCUCACUCCAGGAGCUUCAGGUCCAGGCCUUGGGGGUCAGCAGGGCAAGCCUGAGCCCUGUGGUGCUGUGGGAAGACUUGGUUCAAGUGACACUGAGCCUGGGACAAAGUGCGGUUGAUGGCUCUUGUUUUCCCUGGCCCUUCAGAGGAGAACCGUUUAUGAACCUAUAGCAAGAGGAUGGCAUGAAUAAGGGAUCAUGAUUAAUAGAAUUCAGAGACAAAGGGAGAGAAAACAAACAAAAAACACCUCUGGAAUUUGUUGGAGCUCUUGGAAAAGAAAAGCUGUGAGUGGAUGUUCAAGAGGGUAACCUAGGGCCUCAUGCACUGGGGCAUUCAGUAGGUUCGUAUUGAAUCGAAAACAACGAAUGAAGCCUGCAGUGCAGAGAAAACAUUGU
rnacentral:lncRNA from 1 species